rnacentral:rRNA from 1 species
AACGUAGGAGACAAACGUUAUCCGGAGUUACUGGGCGUAAAGGGCGUGCAGGCGGUUGAUUAAGUCUGGCGUGAAAGCUCUCGGCUAAACCGAGAGAGGUCGUUGGAUACUGGUCAACUAGAGGACGGUAGAGGCGAGUGGAAUUCCGGGUGUAGUGGUGAAAUGCGUAGAGAUCCGGAGGAACACCAGUGGCGAAGGCGACUCGCUGGGCCGUACCUGACGCUAAGACGCGACAGCAUGGGGAGCGAACGGGAUUAGAAACCCCCGUAGUCC